rnacentral:piRNA from 1 species
UAGGGGAUAUUUCUUGACUCAUGUGA